UACAUGCAAGUCGAACGCUUUUUCUUUCACCGGAGCUUGCUCCACCGAAAGAAAAGGAGUGGCGAACGGGUGAGUAACACGUGGGUAACCUGCCCAUCAGAAGGGGAUAACACUUGGAAACAGGUGCUAAUACCGUAUAACAAUCGAAACCGCAUGGUUUCGGUUUGAAAGGCGCUUUUGCGUCACUGAUGGAUGGACCCGCGGUGCAUUAGCUAGUUGGUGAGGUAACGGCUCACCAAGGCAACGAUGCAUAGCCGACCUGAGAGGGUGAUCGGCCACAUUGGGACUGAGACACGGCCCAAACUCCUACGGGAGGCAGCAGUAGGGAAUCUUCGGCAAUGGACGGAAGUCUGACCGAGCAACGCCGCGUGAGUGAAGAAGGUUUUCGGAUCGUAAAACUCUGUUGUUAGAGAAGAACAAGGAUGAGAGUAGAAUGUUCAUCCCUUGACGGUAUCUAACCAGAAAGCCACGGCUAACUACGUGCCAGCAGCCGCGGUAAUACGUAGGUGGCAAGCGUUGUCCGGAUUUAUUGGGCGUAAAGCGAGCGCAGGCGGUUUCUUAAGUCUGAUGUGAAAGCCCCCGGCUCAACCGGGGAGGGUCAUUGGAAACUGGGAAACUUGAGUGCAGAAGAGGAGAGUGGAAUUCCAUGUGUAGCGGUGAAAUGCGUAGAUAUAUGGAGGAACACCAGUGGCGAAGGCGGCUCUCUGGUCUGUAACUGACGCUG
rnacentral:rRNA from 1 species